rnacentral:rRNA from 1 species
AUGAACGCUGGCGGCGUGCCUAAUACAUGCAAGUCGAGCGAACAGACGAGGAGCUUGCUCCUCUGACGUUAGCGGCGGACGGGUGAGUAACACGUGGAUAACCUACCUAUAGACUGGGAUAACUUCCGGAAACCGGAGCUAAUACCGGAUAAUAUAUUGAACCGCAUGGUUUAAUAGUGAAAGACGGUUUUGCUGUCACUUAUAGAUGGAUCCGCGCCGCAUUAGCUAGUUGGUAAGGUAACGGCUUACCAAGGCAACGAUGCGUAGCCGACCUGAGAGGGUGAUCGGCCACACUGGAACUGAGACACGGUCCAGACUCCUACGGGAGGCAGCAGUAGGGAAUCUUCCGCAAUGGGCGAAAGCCUGACGGAGCAACGCCGCGUGAGUGAUGAAGGUCUUCGGAUCGUAAAACUCUGUUAUUAGGGAAGAACAAAUGUGUAAGUAACUAUGCACGUCUUGACGGUACCUAAUCAGAAAGCCACGGCUAACUACGUG